rnacentral:rRNA from 1 species
GACGAACGCUGGCGGCGUGCUUAACACAUGCAAGUCGAGCGGUAAGGCCCUUUCGGGGGUACACGAGCGGCGAACGGGUGAGUAACACGUGGGUGACCUGCCCUCAGCUCUGGGAUAAGCCUGGGAAACCGGGUCUAAUACCGGAUAUGACUCCAUGACGCAUGUUGUGGGGUGGAAAGCCUUGUGCGGCUGAGGAUGGGCCCGCGGCCUAUCAGCUUGUUGGUGGGGUGAUGGCCUACCAAGGCGACGACGGGUAGCCGGCCUGAGAGGGCGGACGGCCACACUGGGACUGAGACACGGCCCAGACUCCUACGGGAGGCAGCAGUGGGGAAUUGUUCGCAAUGGCGCAAGCCUGACGACGCAACGCCGCGUGGAGGAUGAAGAUCUUCGGGUCGUAAACUCCUUUCGAUCGAGACGAACGGCCUCCGGGUUAAUACUCCGGAGGAGUGACGGUACCGAGAGAAGAAGCCCGGCUAACUCCGUGCCAGCAGCCGCU